rfam:Thioalkalivibrio nitratireducens DSM 14787, complete genome.
AUCGAAGGAGGGGCCGGCAGGGUUCGAACCUCAAGGUUCGACUGCCCCGCCUGCGGGGCAGAACGUCGCCGAAGGCGACGGCCCGAAGGGCGGCGCGCUUGCGCGCCGUAAUCCUGCCGGCCCAGCCA